AGGCAGCAGUGGGGAAUAUUGCACAAUGGGCGCAAGCCUGAUGCAGCCAUGCCGCGUGUGUGAAGAAGGCCUUCGGGUUGUAAAGCACUUUCAGCGAGGAGGAAAGGUUAAGUGUUAAUAGCGCUUAGCUGUGACGUUACUCGCAGAAGAAGCACCGGCUAACUUCGUGCCAGCAGCCGCGGUAAUACGAGGGGUGCAAGCGUUAAUCGGAAUUACUGGGCGUAAAGCGUACGCAGGCGGUUUGUUAAGCGAGAUGUGAAAGCCCCGGGCUCAACCUGGGAACUGCAUUUCGAACUGGCAAACUAGAGUCUUGUAGAGGGGGGUAGAAUUUCAGGUGUAGCGGUGAAAUGCGUAGAGAUCUGAAGGAAUACCGGUGGCGAAGGCGGCCCCCUGGACAAAGACUGACGCUCAGGUACGAAAGCGUGGGGAGCAAACAGGAUUAGAUACCCUGGUAGUCCACGCCGUAAACGAUGUCUACUCGGAAUUUGGUGUCUGAACACUGGGUUCUCAAGCUAACGCAUAAUAGACCG
rnacentral:rRNA from 1 species